AAUGAAUUAUCGUGUGUCUGUCCGGGUGUCUGUACACACAUGGUAUUGCCUCUAGAUAACUGAAUAUAGUACUUAUUCGUUCUUGCGCUUCCAAUUAUUUGUUUAAUGUAUCACCAGAUUAUUGGUCGUGGAUUAUAGUCAACAGUGAUAAGAGGAUGGUGUAUGAUCGGGCAAUAUGACUUAUCGAGAUAAUUUCAGUGUAUUCGUCAAGUAGCUGGUGUUUAUUUUGAUAAAUGUCGAUACUCUCCAAAAUGACCUUCUUAUCACCAAUGGGAUAAGGAUACGAUUCCUUUGUGAGUGAUUAGAUUUAGAACUAGUUGGUAGGUCAUGUCAUGUACUACUACUACUACACAUUGGAGUAUUUCUAUAGAUCAGCAAAAUAUACAUACUAGUUUACAGAUUUGUGAUGCUCCUAAUUGACGGAUAUUAGUGAUGCCAAAAAGCAUGUGAAAUUGAUCGUUUCUUAGACGCAACUAAGGAAGCUGAAAGACCGGAGAACGUAGCACUCUAGAUAUGACUGUAACCACUUAGUUUAAAGACCCCAAAACAUCAUGUCGAUGCAUGGCUAUCAGGACGUGUGUAGCACCGCCAUUCGACGUCAAAAUACGCAACUACUGGUUGACCGUAAAUUGACUAUUGUUCCUAAAACGCCUCGAAGGCGCAGGAAAGAAAGGGCGCCAAUAGUAGAAUUAUUGCCGUUCAGGAGGAAGGUUUGGAAACGAGAAAAAUCAUUUGCUUAUAACGCACAUGUUGAUACUGUGAAAGAUGCGCCCCGUAUAACUGAUGAAGUUGACGUGGAAACAGAACCUGCGUACGUAGAACCACGAAUACAGACGCUGACACCUCGGGUGAGUGACCACAUAGUGCCGUCACGUCAAAAAGGAUCUUCCACGAAGAAAAUUGGCCCGUCAUCUUCUGUAUCCUCGCUUUCUGAAACUCCCAGAAUCCCUAGGUCAUCGACUGAGCUAUCGUUUCCAUCAUUCCCCGACGGGUUUGUGACUAUAGGAACCAGGCAAAGGUCGACCUUAGAAGAAAUACACGAGCGCGAUAGGAAGCCAUCGGAUACGAGUAAAGAAAAGGACACGGCGUCCUAUGAUAGCAUCAAAGAUGCAAUCGACCAGGAAUCUAGUAAUGCUACAAACAAAGUCAAGGAUAAUGAUAAUGUCUUGCGUGAAAAGAAAGAAAGGAACUUGUCACCACGACGGUUGACUGGCCACGCCGAUUCGAUCACCGAAGCGUCGAUCACAGUGGAUGGAGCGAGCAUUCAAGAAUGGCGAAUCCCGCCAGAUAUACAGUUCCCCGAAUACCAACAUUAUAAUUUUUCUAGACCAUAUUUAUCCGAAGAUAAUUAUACUAUUGAUUCAGUUUCUAAAGUUCGCCCAAGUACGGACAAUCGGCAUUUGACGACUCCGCAUGAAAAGUACACAUUUGAUCGAGCAAUGACUCUUCCAUCGAUAAACAUUCGAAACGCCCCUCUUAAGACACGACAGAAACGCAACGAAACAUCAAGAAAGGACGUCAGUAAAUCUGAUAGCACAUGGUCGUAUCAUGUACGCCACGAAGUGCCAAACACUCUGCAAUACAUGGAAUCCAAGGGCAGGCCCAUGGGAUUAGAAAAACAACUCUCUAUGGAUUUAAGCAUCACGUUGGAUAAUAUUCGACGGAAUAAAUCAUACAAUGGAACUACGCAAAUGCCAUUUAUCCUCGGGAGUCCACAAAGAGGGUAUUUAAGAGCGCACGGGCCCCCUACUCGAGGUGAAAAACGCAUUGAAGACGCAAGAAAGCCCAAUCAUUCGCAGCAGGCGGGGGUUAUCAAGAUACCAUUAAUUAAUCCCCGCCACGCUCCACCAAUUAGAUUACAGUACACGGAAAAGCAGAAUAUAUUCAAAAUCCCCAAAUCAGAGAGUAAGGACUCUGGCAUUGAUAGCAUAGAACAUCAUUACAAUCCAAGACAGCUUGAUAAAACAAUUGAUCACUUUAAAAUGUAGAUGACGUUUUAACUGAACAUGAAAUACCUCAUAUAACUUCUGUUGAUACACAUGAAGAUAGUGUCGCGUUGAAAAAUGAACUAAGGACACUCUUUACCGAUCUCAAGGUCAAAGUAAAUGACAUAAUGAAUGAUAAUUCUGGCAAUAUAGCGCAACAUCAAUGAAAAUUGUUCUUGAUCGCCUAACGAGUUUUACGAAUCCACAAGGCCCACAACAAUUGAGCACGAGGGCCAGGAAUAAAACAUGUAAGACAUGGAUUAAAUUAUGGAUGUAUGCUAUAAUACUAGAUGCGUGUUUUAAUAUUUUAUUGCUGAAUUCCCGGGCCUCAGUUUGAAACAUCAUUUUUUAAGACUAGAGGAGAAAAUAAUUUAAAUCCAGAAAUGCAUUAAAAUGUUUACAUAAUAAGGUUUCGUAAUUCCGAUUAAAAUGAUACAAUUUUGAGAUAACCCAACAAUCUUCAUGUCGUCAUUCGACCACCAUUUGUCAUACUUUCAGGUCGUUCGUCUGUCCAGCAGACUAUGAAUUCAGCACUAAUUGUCAUGUUUCAGAGGGAGAUAAUAAUGCUUUCAAAAAGCUAAGACCCUCUAAAAAUGUUCUUGCUGAAUGUUUAAUAUAUUAUGAAAAUAAAAAUAGAAACCUA
rnacentral:misc_RNA from 1 species